rnacentral:rRNA from 1 species
CCUGGCUCAGGACGAACGCUGGCGGCAUGCCUAAUACAUGCAAGUCGAGCGGAGUUGUUUUGGAAGCUUGCUUCCAAAACAAUUUAGCGGCGGACGGGUGAGUAACACGUAGGUAACCUGCCUGUAAGACUGGGAUAACUACCGGAAACGGUAGCUAAUACCGGAUAACUUGUUUCUUCUCAUGAAGAGACAAUGAAAGGCGGAGUAAUCUGCCACUUAUAGAUGGGCCUGCGGCGCAUUAGCUAGUUGGUGAGGUAACGGCUCACCAAGGCGACGAUGCGUAGCCGACCUGAGAGGGUGAACGGCCACACUGGGACUGAGACACGGCCCAGACUCCUACGGGAGGCAGCAGUAGGGAAUCUUCCGCAAUGGACGAAAGUCUGACGGAGCAAUGCCGCGUGAGUGAUGAAGGUUUUCGGAUCGUAAAGCUCUGUUGCCAGGGAAGAACACUUGGGAGAGUAACUGCUCUCAAGGUGACGGUACCUGAGAAGAAAGCCCCGG